AUCAAUUCCACUGUGUAGGAAGUCAUUUUUCCUAUCAAACACAGAAUAUCCAAUUAUUCUCAUCUAAUAACUGAUCUUGAUGUUUGAAGGCAAAAUGACUUCCUACACAGUGGAAUUGAUGUAUAUCCAUGUUAAGAAUCAAGCAGUAGACGCAUCUAAUUAUGCAAACUACCAAAUGCUAACAUACACAACUAACAAUUCCCAAACAUAUACUGCACCAACAUAGCACAACAUAGAAAACCUAACUAAAUAAUUAGAUGACAUGAACACGAGGGAAGUACACAGGUGACAGCUCACCCCACCCAUAAAUUUCAUGG
rnacentral:misc_RNA from 1 species